rnacentral:misc_RNA from 1 species
UUACUGUUUUGAUAGAUUUCUAACCAGUGAAAUUCAUUAAAUUGUCCCUUGCAUUUACGAGCAAAUCACAUGCAUAUUGUUCUGUUCUAAAAUGCAUAUAUUAACCAUCUAAAACAUGAGAAGUUACCAAUUAUUUUCCCACUGUUUUUGUUAUUCAUCGAAUUUAGUAGGUCUCCAUUUUGAGAUUAUCUAUUCGUAUUUACCAACUAAUUGUGGUUGAUUCGAUGCAUGACACUGACAAAGUGAAGUUCAUUG